CAGUGUUACAGAGGAGACUCCUGAGGCCAGUGCAAUUUGGAUCUUCUGGAAGUGUACAAAUUAAAGUUAUUUUGAUUGUAAGAGAAAGAGAAUGACUGUGACUAACUUAAGAAAACAAGACAUUUGUUGAAAGGAUCACUUUAUAAAUGGAGGAAUAGCUAAAAUUCAAACAUUGGGAAGGAUCGCAUCCAGGAUUCCACAAUGCGUUUCGCCACCAUGUAUCUCCUUAAGUUUCCUCUGUUGCGUGACAGUUUUGCAAUCCCAAAGAAAAAUUUUAAUUUUGCUUUCUUAUUUUUAACUUUUCUUGUAAUUCUUCUCUAUAUUAUCUAUUUCUGUUUUCAAUUCAUCCCACUAUACAUUGUCCCAUUUUGAUUCUUCUGCCUGUAUUUCUUUUACUUCUUUUAUUAUUUGUCCUGGCUUUUUUGGAAACCAGUUCUUCUGUAUUCUUUUGAAAAUGUCAAACAGUUUUUUCAUCUCACAGUAGAUGUUUAUGGAGUACUGCUCUUCCUCUGAGUCAUCAAGACACGUUGCUUUGACUUUGUUCUCAGUGUAACUUCCAAAUGUGCCGCACAUUAUCUAUAUUCGGAGUUUGCCAACACCCAGGAUAUGUGGAUCACACUCCUCCCCAGUGCACAGCCAUGCUGCUGAUGGAAGAAUCACUUUCCCAAUCAAGAGUUAGAAGACACAGGUCUUUGAGAUAUGAGAAAGAUGACAGGGAAAUAAGAAAAUGUUUUUCUAUCCAAUUCCAGGUGUUUUUAUGAAAUGAAGUCUGGGCAAGUUUUUCUUGUUAUAAACUCAUCUGCUUUGUUAUUAGAGAAGGAUUCCCCAUGUUUCUGUCAAUACAGUUUUUUUAGGCUGUUUUUAUUGUUGUUAGGAGUAGCCUUUUUUUUUUUUUUUUGGUCAUAGGGUACACAAACCUGGAACUCAUGGAUGAAGGUACACAUUUGAAAGUUAUCACACAUGAAGAUGAGGUUUCAAGCUACAGGACUGGCUGAUAUUACUCAGGGAUAAAAUAUAGUUAGACGGCUGACAGAAGCUCACAUCGAGCUCCACGUUCCUCCCUAUGUUCACAGCUACAUUAGCUCUGUUUGGGAGAGUUCAUACCUGAAAGCAGUGCAUCUGAGAAAGUCCUCAGUUAUCUGGCCAAGUAUUAGCUCAGUACGGGCCUCAUGAAUGCUGAGGCAACAUUCUACAGUGAAAAUGAAUAGGGAAGAAUUUUAUAGUCAGAUAGAAUUGAGUUCAAGUAUGGGCCCAGCCACAUGUAGAUGUAAAACCUGGGAGAUGACACUUACUUACCUGGGGCUCUGAUUCUGCAUCUGUAAGAUGGCUUUACUGAAAGAACCUAUUCUUAUUUCACUGAUGUAUAAUUGAAAAUCAAUAACCUGCACUUUUUAAAAGUGUUUUUUUGAUACGUUUUAAAGUACAUAUGCACCCGUGAAACUAUCACUGUAAUUAAGAUAAUGAGUAUAUCAAUUAUCCCCUCCUUUGUCAUCCCUUCCUCACACCCCUCCCCACCUCCACCUUUUCCCCAGGCACCUCUUAAUCUGUUUUCUGUAGAUUCAUUUGCAUUUUCUACAGUUUUAUAUAAGUGGAGUUAUGUAAUAUGUGCUCUUUUUUUUCUGGCUUUUUCACUCAACAAAAUUAUUUUGAGAUUUAUCCAUAUUGCAUAUAUCAAUAGUUCUUUCCUUUUAACCACUGCAGUCCAAUUUAUAUAUUUUUUUCUUUUAUGGAUAAUGCUUUUGCUGUUGUAUCUAAAAAAUAUUUGACUAAUCCAAGAUUAUAAAGAUUUU
rnacentral:lncRNA from 10 species